CAGUAGACUCUGAAAGUAUAACUACAAGGGCAAACUACAGCCCAGCAUCGGUACUUGAGGCCCAUUUAAACUCAUUAGACUGUCCAGGAAGUACCAUUGCAAGUGGUCGAAGAGUGGAUGAAGAAAGUGAAGAGAUGAGAGCACCAAGCACUGAAGCUGCUUUGGAUGACACAAAAGGUGGCAGCAACCAGCAAAAUAAAGCUCU